AUUGAACGCUGGCGGCAUGCCUUACACAUGCAAGUCGAACGGCAGCACGGGAGCAAUCCUGGUGGCGAGUGGCGAACGGGCGAGUAAUAUAUCGGAACGUGCCCAGUAGUGGGGGAUAACUGCUCGAAAGAGCAGCUAAUACCGCAUACGACCUGAGGGUGAAAGGGGGGGAUCGCAAGACCUCCCGCUAUUGGAGCGGCCGAUAUCAGAUUAGCUAGUUGGUGGGGUAAAGGCCUACCAAGGCAACGAUCUGUAGUUGGUCUGAGAGGACGACCAGCCACACUGGAACUGAGACACGUUCCGGACUCCUUCGGUAGGCAGCAGUGGGGAAUUUUGGACAAUGGGCUCAAGCCUUAUCCAGCAAUGCCGCGUGCAGGAAGAAGGCCUUCGGGUUGUAAACUGCUUUUGUCAGGGAAGAAAUCCUCUAGGUUAAUACCCUUGGGGGGAUGACGGUACCUGAAGAAUAAGCACCGGCUAACUACGUGCCAGCCGCCGCGGUAAUAC
rnacentral:rRNA from 1 species